GUGUAAUGAAAACAUAAGGUAACAAAGAUGGAAAUUUUUGGCCCCAAAAACUCGCUUCUCUCUCCUGCCAUAGAUAAUCAGCUCGUGUCAGCCACUGUCAGGUACUGUGCUAGCUGCCCUUCUCACUGCUGCCACUAAAUACCUGACAAAAGGAACAUAAGGAAAAGGGGGUUCAUCUUGGCUCACAGUUUUAGGGCGCCACCUACUGUGGCAGAGAAGAAUGGCAGCGGGAGCAUGAGGCGGUCGGUCACAUCGCAGUCACAGACAGGAAGCAGAGAGAGAGGAAUGUUGAGGCUCAGCCCACUUUCUCCUUUUCCUCCUUUUUAUUUAGUCUGGAGUUUCAGCCUAUGGAAUGGUGCUCCCAACGCUCAGGGUGAGUCCUCUCUCCUUGGUUAAACCUCUCCAGUAGCACCCCAAGUGAUUCCAAAUCCCAUCAAGUUGACAAUGAAGAUAAUUGUCCUAGCUUCUCCUGUCCUUCCUUUCCCUUUCCUUUCAUUACACAGUACCCCUCCUGUUUCCCUUCUUCUCUCUCUGUCUCUAAGUCAGUGGUUCUCAACCUGUGGGUCACAAUCCCUUUGAGGGUUGAAUAACCCUUCUAUAGGGGUCACUUAAAAGCAUCAGAAAACACAAAUAUUUACAUUACGAUUCAAAACCGUAAAAUUACAGUCAUGAAGUAGCAAUGAGAUACUUUUCUGGUUGGGUGGGAGUCACCCCAACAUGAGGAACUGUAUUAAAAGCAAUAAGAAGGUUGAGAACCACUGCCCUAAGUCCUAUAUAAUGGUGAUUACCUCUUAUGCUGUUGAUAGAACAAAAGAAGUUGCUGUCCCUAACAGUUGGGACAGCUGGUCCCCAUCCUGUAUAUUUUAGUUACUGUGGGUUCCUGAGGUGCUUGGUAGCAGUAAAACAAUUUAAUGGGAAACUAACAGACUGGAAAGCACUUGGAGUCAGGAACCUUAAAAAAAAAAAAAAAACUGGACACUUGGAGGGAGAAACUGGACACUUACUGUGCUAUAAAUACCCACCACAGCCAAAGCAAAAAUUCCCUGACACAUCUCAUUUUCUUGGCUCAUUUUUAUGCUCCUCAGGACAUAAUAAGUAGGGUAUUCUGACAUUUUUUAAGUCAUCCCCCAAGUUCUUUAGCUUAAUACUUUAUCUUCCUGUCAAUCUGAAAAUAUAUUUGUUUUGUCUUAUUCCUUAAUCUGAUUUUUCCUUCCUUCUCACCCACUUGGGUGUGGUAUUGGAGCCCGUUUGUAUAGGUUUGCUGGUUGUUUGGUUUUCAAGAAUUCUUUGAAUUAUUGCUCAAAAUAGCCCUAUUAAAAAUUAAAGUGUGGGGGUUGGGGAUUUAGCUCAGUGGUAGAGCGCUUGCCUAGCAAGCGCAAGGCCCUGGGUUUGGUCCCCAGCUCCGA
rnacentral:lncRNA from 1 species